AACCUUUUGUAGUUCAGAAGCACGAUGACUGGAUUUUCACUCUGUUGUGUGUGAUGUACCCCUCUCAAACCUCACCUUGUCAUGUUACCCAUCUGACA
ensembl:snoRNA